UCCCUGAUAGCUCAGUUGGUAAAGAAUCUGCCUGCAAUGUAGGAGACCUGGGUUCGAUCCCUUGGUUGGGAA
rnacentral:tRNA from 1 species